rnacentral:rRNA from 1 species
AUUGAACGCUGGCGGCAUGCCUUACACAUGCAAGUCGAACGGGCUUUGGGGCCUGCUCCAAGGUUAGUGGCGAACGGGUGAGUAAUAUAUCGGAACGUACCCUAGAGUGGGGGAUAACUAGUCGAAAGGCUGGCUAAUACCGCAUACGAUCUAAGGAUGAAAGUGGGGGACCUUCGGGCCUCAUGCUCAUGGAGCGGCCGAUAUCUGAUUAGCUAGUUGGUGGGGUAAAAGCCUACCAAGGCGACGAUCAGUAGCUGGUCUGAGAGGACGAUCAGCCACACUGGGACUGAGACACGGCCCAGACUCCUACGGGAGGCAGCAGUGGGGAAUUUUGGACAAUGGGCGAAAGCUGAUCCAGCAAUGCCGCGUGAGUGAAGAAGGCCUUCGGGUUGUAAAGCUCUUUUGUCAGGGAAGAACACGUACGAGAGGAAAUGCUCAUACCUUGACGGUACCUUACGAGAAAGCCACGGCUAACUACGUGCCAGCCGCCGCCGUAA